rnacentral:rRNA from 1 species
UACGAAGGGGGCUAGCGUUACUCGGAUUGACUGGGCGUAAAGGGCGCGUAGGCGGAUCUUUAAGUCAGAGGUGAAAUCCCAAGGCUCAACCUUGGAACUGCCUUUGAUACUGGGGAUCUCGAGUCCGGGAGAGGUGAGUGGAACUGCGAGUGUAGAGGUGAAAUUCGUAGAUAUUCGCAAGAACACCAGUGGCGAAGGCGGCUCACUGGCCCGGUACUGACGCUGAGGCAGCGAAAGC